rnacentral:rRNA from 1 species
UACGUAGGGCGCAAACGUUGCUCGGAAUUAUUGGGCGUAAAGCGCGCGUAGGCGGCCACUUAAGUCGGAUGUGAAAGCCCCUGGCUCAACUGGGGAAGUGCACCCGAAACUGAAUGGCUAGAGUACUAAAGAGGGUCGCGGAAUUCCCGGUGUAGAGGUGAAAUUCGUAGAUAUCGGGAGGAACACCGGUGGCGAAGGCGGCGACCUGGGUAGAUACUGACGCUGAGGUGCGAAAGCGUGGGGAGCAAACAGG